ACACCUCCUAAAUAUUCAACGGUUUUUGCUAAAAUCCAAAUGGAAUUCUUAAAUUUCAACAUGCCUCCUGCAUCAAUUUCCCAAUUUUAUUUUAUUUUUAUCUUGUUUCCUUAGUUAGUUAUCCCAUAUUCCGAAGGGUUAAUUCCUGCCUCUUCUGUUGCAGUGAAGUUUUCCCACCUACUGCAGUCAAGUAGGUGGGCUUUCCAUUAUGAUGAAAUGUGACAUGACAAAGAGUCAGCAGAAGAAUUCAAAAGACUCAGCGCUACGCAGAAAUCUGGCACAAAGCCAACAGUCUUGCCCAUUUAAAAGACCCCAAAGUCUUUUUUAAAAGAGUGAUAGCAUCCAAUACAGCAAUUCUCAAGUGUGGUCCCCAGAUCUGCGACAUGAGCACCACCUGAGAAUUUGUGGGAAAUGUAGAUUACCAGGGCUUCCCCCAACCUACUACAUUUGUGGGGAAAGGGGAGGCAGUAAUGUGUGCUUUAACUGGCCUACAGAUCAUUCUUACAGAAACUCAAGAUGGAAAACCACUGUAGAGGCAGCUUAAAGGAAGGCUAUGGGCAAAGGUAGAUCUUGCUUGUCUAGGUGUAUGUGAUGUGUUUUAAACAGGUUUCCGGCAGCCCAUUUUAAGUCUACCAUCCAGAGACUGCAAUGAGGAGUUCCUCCAUUGACUUUACCUACGCUCCUUCUGCUCAUUUGUUCAGGAAGAAAUAUACUGUUCUAGGCCUGGGUGAUGCUCCCAUGAAAGAGAAGACACAAGAAGUCUGGCCCUGUGUUCUGGAGAGGAUGAAUGAACUGCUGUGUGUAAAAUGCUUAGACUGUAGGAGCAAUGGGAGUGUUAGCUACUUCUGUUGUAUCAUUGCUGCUGUUAAUGCUUGAGCUGCUACCACUACUACUGCGAUCACAACUCGGAGC
rnacentral:lncRNA from 1 species